rnacentral:rRNA from 1 species
UUGAAAGGGAAACGAUUGAAGUCAGUCAUACCAACGGGAAAUCAACCUUUUGAGCUUGGUCUCGUGGGUUUUGAAGAGUUUCAAAGCCUUCGGAUUCGCGGGAUCGGGAUCUCUUGGUGUACUUUUUCGUACGGUUAGUCAACAUCGGUUUUGAAUGUCAUAAAAUGACUGGAGGAAUGUAGCUUCGAUCUCGUAUUGAAGUGUUAUAGCCUUUGGUAGAUGUGAUGUUUGAGACCGAGGAUUGCAACGGAUACCCUUCAGGGCUAUUCGUCUGAUCUCUGAUACGUUGCCUUGAUGUUGAAAGCUUGCUUAUGAUGUUAGGGUAUUACGGUCAAAAGGUUAGAACGAAUUACAUUCGUUAAGGAUGUUGACGUA